rnacentral:tRNA from 1 species
GCCGCCCGGCGGGGAGGACACCGCCGCCUUCCGGCGGCGGUGCUGCCGCGCCUUUGAGGAGAUUGUGGAGCGAUGCCUCGCGGACGGCG